rfam:Solenopsis invicta Si_gnG.contig03689, whole genome shotgun sequence.
AUUACGUUGCGGCUCGUCAUCGGGCACUUUGCUUCUUUUUUCCAUGCAAGCUGCCUUUUGAAGGGCAACACUGUGAU